rnacentral:rRNA from 1 species
UACGGAGGGGGCUAGAGUUGUUCGGAAUUACUGGGCGUAAAGCGCACGUAGGCGGCUUUGUAAGUUAGAGGUGAAAGCCCGGGGCUCAACUCCGGAAUUGCCUUUAAGACUGCAUCGCUAGAAUUGUGGAGAGGUAAGUGGAAUUCCGAGUGUAGAGGUGAAAUUCGUAGAUAUUCGGAAGAACACCAGUGGCGAAGGCGACUUACUGGACACAUAUUGACGCUGAGGUGCGAAAGCGUGGGGAGCAAACAGG